UCGAGAAUUUUUCACAAUGGGCGAAAGCCUGAUGGAGCGACGCCGCGUGGGGGAUGAAUGGCUUCGGCCCGUAAACCCCUGUCAUUCGGGAUCAAAUCUGGCAACCUAACACGUUGUCAGUUGAUAGUACUGAAAGAGGAAGGGACGGCUAACUCUGUGCCAGCAGCCGCGGUAAUACAGAGGUCCCAAGCGUUGUUCGGAUUUACUGGGCGUAAAGGGAGCGUAGGUGGCAUUCUAAGUCUGAUGUGAAAGCUCUGAGCUUAACUCAGAAAUGGCAUUAGAAACUAGUUUGCUUGAGGAUUGGAGGGGAGAUUGGAAUACUUGGUGUAGCAGUGAAAUGCGUAGAUAUCAAGUGGAACACCAGUGGCGAAGGCGAAUCUCUGGACAAUUCCUGACACUGAUGCUCGAAAGCUAGGGGAGCAAACGGGAUUAGAUACCCCCGUAGUCC
rnacentral:rRNA from 1 species